rnacentral:rRNA from 1 species
AACGCUAGCUACAGGCUUAACACAUGCAAGUCGAGGGGCAGCACAGAGAUAGCUUGCUAUCUUGGGUGGCGACCGGCGCACGGGUGAGUAACGCGUAUCCAACCUGCCCAUUACUCAGGGAUAGCCUUGCGAAAGUAAGAUUAAUACCUGAUGUUGUUAAAAACCCGCAUGAGUUUUUAACCAAAGAUUUAUUGGUAAUGGAUGGGGAUGCGUGACAUUAGGUAGUUGGUGAGGUAACGGCUCACCAAGCCCACGAUGUCUAGGGGUUCAGAGAGGAAGGUCCCCCACACUGGAACUGAGACACGGUCCAGACUCCUACGGGAGGCAGCAGUGAGGAAUAUUGGUCAAUGGACGAGAGUCUGAACCAGCCAAGUAGCGUGCAGGACGACGGCCCUCUGGGUUGUAAACUGCUUUUAGUUGGGAAUAAAAAGAGGGACGUGUCCCUAAUUGUAUGUACCAUCAGAAAAAGGACCGGCUAAUUCCGUGCCAGCAGCCGCGGUAAUACGGAAGGUCCAGGCGUUAUCCGGAUUUAUUGGGUUUAAAGGGAGCGUACACGGGGAAUUAAGUCAGUUGUGAAAGGCUGCGGCUCAACCGCAGCACUGCAGUUGAUACUGGUUUCCUUGAGUGCGGUUGAGGUAUGUGGAAUUCGUGGUGUAGCGGUGAAAUGCUUAGAUAUCACGAAGAACUCCGAUUG